rnacentral:rRNA from 1 species
CGGAGGAAAAGAAACCAACAGGGAUUGCCCUAGUAACGGCGAGUGAAGCGGCAACAGCUCAAAUUUGAAAUCUGGCGCAAGCCCGAGUUGUAAUUUGUAGAGGAUGCUUCUAGGUAGCGACCGGUCUAAGUUCCUUGGAACAGGACGUCAUAGAGGGUGAGAAUCCCGUAUGUGACCGGCCCGCACCUUCUACGUAGCUCCUUCGACGAGUCGAGUUGUUUGGGAAUGCAGCUCUAAAUGGGAGGUAAAUUUCUUCUAAAGCUAAAUACCGGCCAGAGACCGAUAGCGCACAAGUAGAGUGAUCGAAAGAUGAAAAGCACUUUGGAAAGAGAGUUAAAAAGCACGUGAAAUUGUUGAAAGGGAAGCGCUUACAACCAGACUUCUGGGCGGUGUUCCGCCGGUCUUUUGACCGGUCUACUCGCCGUCCCGAGGCCAACAUCAUCUGGGACCGCUGGAUAAGACCUCAGGAAUGUAGCUCCCCUCGGGGAGUGUUAUAGCCUGUGGUGAUGCAGCGCGUCUCGGGUGAGGUCCGCGCUUCGGCAAGGAUGUUGGCGUAAUGGUUGUCAGCGGCCCGUCUUGAAACACGGACCAAGGAGUCUAACAUCUAUGCGAGUGUUCGGGUGUCAAACCCCUACGCGUAAUGAAAGUGAACGGAGGUGGGAAGGGCAACCUGCACCAUCGACCGAUCCUGAUGUCCUCGGAUGGAUUUGAGUAAGAGCAUAGCUGUUGGGACCCGAAAGAUGGUGAACUAUGCCUGAAUAGGGUGAAGCCAGAGGAAACUCUGGUGGAGGCUCGCAGCGGUUCUGACGUGCAAAUCGAUCGUCAAAUUUGGGUAUAGGGGCGAA